GAGUUGAAGUCAUUGAUGCCAUGCUUCCAGGAAAAGCUUCUAAGCUUCAGAUAUAUAGGAACCGUACCCCAAACCGACACAGGUGGUUAGGUAGAGAAUACUAAGGCGCUUGAGAGAACUCGGGUGAAGGAACUAGGCAAAAUAGUACCGUAACUUCGGGAGAAGGUACGCUCUCUCGUGUGAAUCCCUUG
rnacentral:rRNA from 1 species